UCAAUGGACAUUAAUGGCUUCAGUGUCUUAAGAGAAAGGAAUAGUAGCUUAAGUUAUAAAGAGCAUUUGUACUUCCUAUUUCUGCAAGGCAUUGGAUUUUUGACUAGUAUGACACACGACCUCUCAGUACAGGCCAAAGUGUUAGAAGACAUAUUUUGAGUCAGCUGUACUGAAGGAAUAAAUUGAUCUAUUGAUCUACUAAUCACACAAGAUGUGUGCCAUUAGAGUCCAAGAUCUAAUAAAGAUCAAGUCAGUGUCCUUUUACUUAUAGCCAAUAUUUAAACCCACAAAGACACAAAGGACAAUAAGAGAUAUGUUUUAAAUGUUGGUUUAGUGAAUGCAUUGCUCUAGAUCACACCUGAUAAGUGGCAGAAAUAUUAGAAAAUAGGAAUUUUUUUAAUCCCUAAAAUACCUAAACAGGUAUUGUUUUGGAGGAGGGAUUCUAGGGCUCAGAUCAUAUGUAGAAUGAGUAGAAUUAGGAAUAAUAACUUAGGCAGGUGACAUAUGCAAGGUAUAAGGAGACUGCUUCUUCAUAAUAAGAUACAUCCAUUCUACUUGUGGCUAUUUGCCUGCUAACAGUGGAUUAGAAAGCAUGGUGAACAAAGGGUCCAAAAGCGUUGGUUCACAAAAACUGAUGUACAUCCAAACACCAGGAAAUCUGUACAAAUUACUGAUGCGUGGUUCCUACAACGCUCUGAGUUAUUUGCGAUGGAGUGCUACAAGAGUAUCAGGCUUAAACUCUUCUUAAGCUAUUCUAAUUACAACAAAUUUCCACAAUUACUGGGAUGAAGUCUAACAAAACAUUCAUGAUCUGGUUUGCAUGGUUGCAGAGUCCUUUCGUGUAUUACCUCUGCUACCAUCCUCAACUGGAAAUCCAAGCAGAAGUACCCAAAUGAAGACUCCCAGUGGGUUUCACUUUGGAGCACCUGACCCUCCUCUUCUCUCUUUCUGACCUUCUCUACCUCUCUGGCUUGAAGGUGGCCUUUUUCUUUCCAGUCCCACAGCAAUUGUUCUAGCAGAGACCCUGAAGUGAAGUUUGCAGGGUUGGGUAUUAUGCCUUUCACUCAAAGACCUCGAAACUGGAGCUCUGUCAGGAUGCAGAGCCUCCGGGUUCAGAUUUCUCUUCCCUUGCACCAUCAAUAUUGAUCAGUGACUUCCUAAAAUGCCCAAGUGCCUUAUCAGUUCCAGAAGUUGCUAUCCUAAACUUCAUCCUAAAGUUCACUGCACCAAAGGGGGGAAUUACGGAAAGACUGGGCGUGACAUCAGAGUUUUACAUGUUCCCCCAUUAGCUUUGGGGCACUGUCUCUAUAGGUCAUGUCCUGGGUGGCCAUAGGAACCACAAGGCCAGGUUUCUUCAUGAAAUCUUUCUUGAUCUCUCUCCAUCAGAUGGGAUUUCUCCUCAAUUUGAGCCUUCAGAAAACUUGACUAAUCCAGCUGCAGCACAGCCCAGCAUAGUCUAGGCUCAAGGGUAUUAGAAAGCGAAGAAAUCUUGGGUUACAUUCCAUCCACUCUCCUUAUUCACACUGUGACUUUGAGUAGGUUGCUUAUCCUUUCUGAGACAAGGUUCUUUUUUUUUUUUUCCACAGUUUUCCUUGUUGAGGGGGGUGGGGUACUACACAUGGUGCAUGUCUGGUAUGCACCUCAGUGCCUGGGACAUAUUAGACAUGUGAUAAAUAAUACCAAUUCUUUUACUUUUUUAUGGGCCAAAUUACAUUUUGCCUUAUCCUAUGGUCAAAGACUUCCUGGAGUUCCCACUGUGGCACAGUGGGUUAGGAAUCUGACUGCAGCAGCUCAGGUAGCUGCGGAAGCCACAGCUUUGGCUCAGAUUUGAUCCCUGGCACAGCAACUUCCAUAUGCCAUGGGUACAGCCAUUAGACAGACAAACACACACCUCUUGGAUAUGCUUUUUGUAUGAUGAAUUCCACUAAGAAAUGCACUACAUCUUCAUUUUUUAAAUAAAUUGCAGUACAGACCUAGGCAUUUAGGAGACAUUCAUUUAUAAAUAUCCUAUUUAUUUAAAUUAAAGAAAUAUUGACGAGUGUAACCUUGUUGGGUUGAUUUUGACAUAUCAGUGAUACCUUUCUAGAUUGAGGGCAAUGCAGUAUAUAUAUGAAUCCCACAGAUGACACUCAAGUAUUAUUGAAAAAUUUAAGGUAUAUACAGUGGGAUGAUACUUAGAUUGCUGCUACAGAGGAAAGAACUGAAACCAAGUUGGGGUGAUAGUAAUGAUAUUUCUGCAGGGAGCUGUCCCCCCUUUCAGCUGUCAUACCAGCCUCUUAGAGAACAAAGCUUCUGUCCUUACAGCCUCUUAGGGAACAAAGCAUGGGCAUGCAAGGACAAAGAGAAAAGUGACAGGGGGCUAGGCUCUAAUUCUCCAGUUACCUUAACUCAUAGCUCCCACAUUAUAUAAAAGUCAAGAAGUUAGUAACAGGCUACUCAUUCUUAGAUUAAAAAUGUAACUGUGUAAUAGAGCUUUGCCAAAGGGGAUCGCCACAUUGUUCUAUAGAUAAGGCCUUUCCCCACAGUGCCACUAAUAGAAAAUAAAUGAAUCGGUGAAAGGUAUGAGUUUAAAAAUUCACGAAAUAUUGCUUCAAAAAAAUCUUAGCUGAGAAGGAAACCCUGUGUGAAAAAAUAUAUAUGAAAUCCAAAAGCAUGGAACUUUUCCACGGACUUAACCGUAAUGAUUAGCUUCAAUAUAACCUACUUUCUAGUAAGACUCUUACCCAUUUGUUGCACAAUUCUUGUUUUCCAGGAAGGUAGCUGACUAAAUAUCAUCUUUGUUUCAUUGAGCAUGACACUCAUAUUUGAUGCUAGUCACCGACUUAAGACCUUGAAUUUUUAUAAGCACCAUAGCUUUUGUUUGGAAAGUAACGAUUCAGUUCUAGGUACGAUACAAGCAACUCCAGUAAUUUACAUUUGUCAGUACUUGCACAUUAUGUUUUUCUAUUGACCCAACUCAGGUAUUACAUGAGAAAAAGAAAGCAGUAAAAAUGCUAUCCUUAUUAGAAUGCUGUAAUCUAGACUUGUCAGUACCUAGAAUUCUAAAUUAUUUGUCCCAAUAUUCCUUCAUGCAUAAUACGCAUAGUAAAAUAGGUACUUUAAAGAGUUUAAAACUAUUGCAUAGAAUAGCCGAAAAUACUAGGAAGACCUUUGGUGGAAUACGAUAAGUAUUAAAAACAACCAACCCCCCAAAUCAGUAUCUCAGCUGGCUCAGUAAACUUAUCUAACCUCUAGAAAAAUGCACUGAAAACGAAUUUAAUGAAUGGUCCACUUGCACGUAUUGGAAUGAAAGGAAAAAAAGUUUAGAAUUUAAGAGUUCUUUACAACCCUAUUCUGUAAAACUUUAAAUUGUAUUUACAAAUAGCUUGAUGGGCAUAACUAUUUGUUCUAGCCAAUUCCAUAAAAAUACACAGUUUAAUUUUAAGCCUUUCAUUAUUGGCAUGUUUGUGUGCUGAUCUUUACACUACAUUGUUAAAAAUGACCUUUUAAAAAGAUCAUAAUCCUGUUUUAAACCUCCAAAAGUACAUUAUCACAUGCCUUCACUCAAAAGAAACCUGCCCUGCCGGAGAAACCUUGAAAUCUACAAUGAGCAGUUAAGUUGUUCUCCUCUGUCGCCUCCCUUUUCCACCAAAGCUCAGCUACCAGCUUCCUUGGUUUUAAGGCUGAGCUGAAAGUUUAUAUAUACUAAAGCCUCCAGUUGGGAAAGCCCUCGGUGGCCAAUCAGGACUCCCCGAUCUAUUGCGUCACUACUCCCCCCUGGGUGUGACGUCAAAGGCAAUCCCAGGCCAACCACGUGGGUUGGAGGCGUGUACGGGAGACACCCAGCAGCAAGGGUCCCCAAGGGCGUGGAACCCGGCAGGGUGGAGCCAACAGAGCUCCUACACCCACCUUCUGGGAUCAGGGCUGUAGCAGCUCGCUAGAGCCAGAGGCGCGUGAGGUCGGUGACUCUCAAGUACUUAGCGCGGGGGUUUGGCGGAUGGAGGGAGUGGCCGCGGGAAGCUGGCACCUAAAGCUCUGUAAUAGGACCCGGGUCUUGUAAACCCUCCUUCCCAGGCACCGCCUCUCAGCUCCCAGCCCCUCUUUCCAGACUUAAUUAUCCCUUCAGAGCCAUUUCCCCUCGGCUGCGUAUCCUUGGCCGGAGGAAAAGCCUCUCGCCUCCCAGUCCUCGCCCUCACACAGACCCUCCUUUCAGACCCGCCCUCCAGUUCACAGGGACCCAUUUCGUAGCCCUCGCUCACGCAGGGCGGGAACCACCGUGACGAAUUCCGCCCAAGGUGUUGAUUAUCCAUCCCAACCUAGCCUCUGGCUCGCCUCCCGCAGUCACCCUGGCUCCUGCAGCGCCCCCUCAACACACACAUCCCCAUUCCCCGCAGGGCGCUUGGGACGGCACCCCCAAAUCCCCCGCCACUGAUGCCCGGCUCUGCAGCUGCAGAAAAGAGGCGCCAGCGUGCUCGGUGCCACGUCGGAAUUGGCUCCUGGGACGCUGCAGCUGCCUGCGCGACCUCGUGGUCCCCACGCACGCCCUGCCCCCGGGCGGCCCGCGAGCCGCGGAGGAGCCAAGAGCAGGGAUGCGCGCCCUCCCUCCCGCUCGGGUCUCCAAGAGCAGGGACCCCUGGCCACAGUAAGGCUUCCGGAGCUGGGCUGAGCCGGGACAGACCCAGCUGACACUUUAAUGGGGUGCAAGGAGUGCAAAGAAGGGGAGGCCAGGGAAAGAAGAGGAGUGGCGGAGCGAGGCCGGUAGCUGCAAGGAGGUGGCGAAGGACCCUCCUUCCCUGGGGCCGGAGUUGGGACCCCGGAUCGCCUUAACCCUUUGCAUUCCAAUGGAAAUUCUUGUCUCCCAACGCGUGAGCCUCUCUGCAGCUCCGGAAGAUGUGGGAUGGAAAAGUACAUCCCGGGCCGGGCAGCCUUUCCCAGGCAAAGAAGUUACCUGUGUUCCCAGAAAGGCAACGGAUUUCUGGCGAGCGCGCAGGGCUGGGAGAAGACAGCGGCUAUGUUGCUAAGGCUGACAGCGAUGUGAAAUGUCGUCUGGUUUUCAGGGUGAUGGAAAUUUUCAGACCUCAAACUUUUCUGUCGAAAGCUGACUUAAAUGUUUUUAACACUUAUGUGAAUAAUGUCCUCCCUGUCCCUGGCCUGUUCGAGGACCCUCAGCGUUCACCGAAUCGCGCCAGUGCAACGUACCUUGUUCAGUUCUUGGUCAUAAAGUUGUCCUCAGCCUGUCUGUGUGGUCCCGGAGGGUCGGUGGCGGGCAGUUUCCAAAACUGAGGUAAUAGGAGAUCAGAUGAAUUUGAGGCGACCGGCCAAAAAAAAUAAAAAAUUUAAAAACAACAUUUAAAAUGAAUAGGGGAAUCUUAAAUCUUUAGGUUCCCCCCAAUUAAAAAAAAAAUCACUGGUAUGUUUUCUUAAUAUUUCCGUUGCACUUCAAUCUUCUAACUCUUAAAAGAAAAUUUUGUCUGUGCUUUAAAAAUAAAUGAACUUUAUUUUUUGCUCUUGUUCCCCUCUUCUAAUAUCGGAAAGUCUUUUUUGUAUUAAAAAAAAAAAAAAA